GUUAGGAAUAUUGGACAAUGGGCGAAAGCCUGAUCCAGCCAUGCCGCGUGAACGAUGAAGGCCUUCGGGUUGUAAAGUUCUUUAGCCGAUGAUUAUAAUGACUGUAGUCGGAAAAUAAGCCCCGGCUAACUUCGUGCCAGCAGCCGCGGUAAUACGAAGGGGGCGAGCGUUAUUCGGAAUCACUGGGCGUAAAGCGUGCGUAGGCGGUUUUGUAAGUUAGGAGUGAAAGCCCAGGGCUCAACCUUGGAAUUGCUCUUAAAACUGCAAGGCUCGAAUCUCGGAGAGGAUAGCGGAAUUUCCAGUGUAGCAGUGAAAUGCGUAGAUAUUGGAAGGAACACCAGUGGCGUAAGUGGCUAUCUGGACGAGUAUUGACGCUGAGGCACGAAAGCGUGGGGAUCAAACAGGAUUAGAAACCCCGGUAGUCC
rnacentral:rRNA from 1 species